rnacentral:rRNA from 1 species
AACGAACGCUGGCGGCGUGCCUAACACAUGCAAGUCGUGCGCGAAAAGGGCAACCUGAGUAGAGCGGCGCACGGGUGCGUAACACGUGGGUAAUCUGCCUUAGAGUCGAGGAUAACCUUCCGAAAGGUUGGCUAAUACUCGGUAAGCUUACGGUGUCUUCGGACGCUGUGGGCAAAGUAGGACUCUGUUUACAAGCUUACGCUCUGAGAUGAGCCCGCGGCCCAUCAGCUAGUUGGGGGUGUAACGGACAACCAAGGCAACGACGGGUGGCUGGUCUGAGAGGACGAUCAGCCACACUGGAACUGAGACACGGCCCAGACUCCUACGGGAGGCAGCAGUGGGGAAUUUUCCACAAUGGGCGAAAGCCUGAUGGAGCAACGCCGCGUGUGUGAUGAAGGUUUUCGGAUCGUAAAGCACUUUCGACCGGGACGAAAAACCUCUGGCUAACAUCCAGGGGCCUGACGGUACCGGGAGAAGAAGCACCGGCUAACUCUGUGCCAGCCGCCGCCGUAA